rnacentral:rRNA from 1 species
GGAGGAAUAUUGGGCAAUGGGCGCAAGCCUGACCCAGCAACGCCGCGUGGAGGACGAAGGCCCUCGGGUCGUAAACUCCUUUUGGGGGGGACGAGCAAGGACGGUACCCCCCGAAUCAGCCACGGCUAACUACGUGCCAGCAGCCGCGGUAAAACGUAGGUGGCGAGCGUUAUCCGGAUUCAUUGGGCGUAAAGAGCUUGUAGGUGGCCGGCUAAGUUGGACGUGAAACCCCCGGGCUUAACUCGGGGCGGCCGUUCAAUACUGGUGGGCUGGAGGGCGUCAGAGGGCAGUGGAAUCCCUGGUGUAGCAGUGAAAUGCGUAGAUAUCAGGGGGAACACCCGUGGCGAAGGCGGCUGCCUGGGGCGCGCCUGACACUGAGAAGCGAAAGCUAGGGGAGCAAACGG